rnacentral:misc_RNA from 1 species
GCUUAGUAUCAUGAAUAGUUAUAUUCCCGUUACUGAUUCGAAACAAGAAAACGAAAUUUCUGAUUAUUACUACGAUUCACCAUCUUCUUCUUCAACUGGAUGUGGAUUGUGUAGUUGUUUAAAUUUUUCAUGUUUCAAUUGGGGCAAAGGCCAUGAAGUUCACAGCAGAUCUCUGCUACAAGAUCAUGAAAAACCAGAGCACAGAGAGUCAUGGCUGGUGAUAUUGAAGAAUUUAUUAAGAAAAAUGAAUAGUAAUUCGAAGAAAUCGAGACCUCAAUUUCAGUAUGAUGCUCAGAGUUAUGCUCUAAAUUUUGAUGAUGGAGCUCGUGAGGAAGAAGAUGGGCUUUUCUGUAAUUUCUCAUCUAGGUUUGCUGUCCCUGUUAUUGCUCAAAAACAGAGCAAAAUUGGUUUGUG